AACGCGAAGAACCUUACCUGGUCUUGACAUCCUGGGAACCCUGAAGAGAUUUAGGGGUGCCGCAAGGAGCCCAGAGACAGGUGCUGCAUGGCUGUCGUCAGCUCGUGCCGUGAGGUGUUGGGUUAAGUCCCGCAACGAGCGCAACCCUUGUCGUGCGUUGGUCGCAAGAUCUCUCACACGAGACCGCCGGUGACAAGCCGGAGGAAGGUGGGGAUGACGUCAAGUCAGCAUGGCCCUUACGUCCCGGGCUACACACGUGCUACAAUGGGAAGGACAGCGAGUCGCGAACCCGCGAGGGCAAGCUAAUCUCUUAAACCUUUCCUCAGUUCGGAUUGGAGGCUGCAACUCGCCUCCAUGAAGUCGGAAUCGCUAGUAACCGCAGAUCAGCUACGCUGCGGUGAAUACGUUCCCGGGCCUUGUACACACCGCAUAC
rnacentral:rRNA from 1 species